rnacentral:rRNA from 1 species
CACGUAGGGGGCGAGCGUUGUCCGGAUUUAUUGGGCGUAAAGAGCUCGUAGGCGGCUCAGUAAGUCGGGUGUGAAAACUCCAGGCUCAACCUGGAGACGCCACCUGAUACUGCUGUGGCUAGAGUCCGGUAGGGGAGCAUGGAAUUCCUGGUGUAGCGGUGAAAUGCGCAGAUAUCGGGAGGAACACCAAUGGCGAAGGCAGCUCGCUGGGACGGUACUGACGCUGGGACGCGAAAGCGUGGGGAGCAAACAGG